GGGGUCAUGGCGCAGCUGGUAGCGCGUUUGAAUGGCAUUCAAAAGGUCAGGGGUUCGACUCCCCUUGGCUCCA
rnacentral:tRNA from 1 species